AUUGAACGCUGGCGGCGUGCCUAAUACAUGCAAGUCGAACGGGGAAAGCUUUCGGGUGAGUACUAGUGGCGCACGGGUGAGUAACGCGUGGAUAAUCUGCCUUAGAGUGGGGGAUAACUAGUCGAAAGAUUAGCUAAUACCGCAUAAGACCACAAGAACUGCGGUUCAAGGGGUCAAAGGUUUUUCGCUCUAAGAUGAGUCCGCGUAAGAUUAGCUAGUUGGUGAGGUAAUGGCUCACCAAGGCGACGAUCUUUAACUGGUCUGAGAGGAUGAUCAGUCACACUGGAACUGAGACACGGUCCAGACUCCUACGGGAGGCAGCAGUAGGGAAUAUUGCACAAUGGAGGAAACUCUGAUGCAGCGACGCCGCGUGAGUGAUGAAGGCCUUCGGGUCGUAAAGCUCUGUCGCAAGGGAAUAACACAAUGAAUGUACCUCGCAAGAAAGGAUCGGCUAACUUCGUGCCAGCCGCCGCCGUAA
rnacentral:rRNA from 1 species